CCAAAGGCUCUUUUCAGAGCCACCCACACUCUCACUAACAGAGCUG
rfam:Pteropus alecto contig104253, whole genome shotgun sequence.